GUAAUGAUGUGGACUCCUUAUGUCAAGGAUCAGGUUCAGCAUAUAUUCAGUGUCUUCCUGCAUGUCUGAAAUUGAGGUGGCAGCUGGAACUUGUAAUAAGAACAAAGCUGGAAAAGGCUCUAACUCAGAUUGAGGCCACCAGAUCCAGAACAAGGCAGCUGAUAUCACAUGAAAAGCUGAUCAGACUUGGAGGAGGAAGAGCUGCAAAGGAAACAAGCAAAUGAAUGAACAGACAACGAAAGGAAGUUAA